CACGAGUCACGGCAAAGAAAAAAAAGACGGAGAUAUACAAAUCGCCAUUGUUGUAAGGUCAAAGUGGCAUGCGUUCCAGGAUUUCACGAGGCUGUGAACUCAACUGUACAUUUCCGUCUUGUAGGCGGAAAUCCAAAGAGGCAUCUGUGCAGGUGGUUGGAAGAGCAUUCCAGGUGUCUACCACGUGAAGCUGGGCGAGAGAAUUCCAAGAGUGUGAAGGUCUCCAUCAAGACAAAGGGCUAAAAGAAUGUAAAGUAUAAGAUCAGUUUGAUGCCUUUGUUAUUAUUGUGAAAUGUAUAAAAUUGUAAAAAAUAAAGAAAAACUCUCCUAGGAAUAGGCGUGCCCAAACUUUUGACUGGUAUUUUAUAUAUGUAUAUAUCUAUAGGCUGUUUUGCAAAUGUCCUUUAUACGCCCACAUGCUGAGGCAUGUGUUCUCUUUAUAUAUUGCAAGUUAAAGAGAUUUAUUAGUGCCAUGUUUUCUAGUAAGAAGCACAUAUGAUCAUAGGGAUCCAGUUCUCUUAAUUGGAGGUUUCAAAUGAUUGGCCUCAGUGACCUUUUUGGCCUCGGUAACCUUUUCUCUACAGGUGGUGCUGGACAGCGUGAUGCAUGCUAGCUCACAGGCUUUCAGCAUGACACAGCAGCCAUGGUCUGUCUCAC